UGACCAUUAAAUCCCCCAAGCAUUGAAGUGGGUCGACACCUUUACUUCCAGCCACAGAGGGCGGUGUUGCCAUGGAAUAGUCAAAAAAGGACUUUAUUAUUAAAUCGAGGCAAAUGUCACUCAAGAACUAUUUAUUUGUUUGUUUUGGUUGUCUGGUGAUUUUUGCAUAGUGCUUAAUGCGGACAUUGUGUUCCUGUUUGUUUUUCAAGAGUGUUUGUUUCUUGCCUCACGCUUUUAUUUUGAAAUUUGAAAAAGGAAGUGAAGUGGUGCUAUGUGUGUACAUUGGCGCACUUUUUUGUACGUGAAGCGUCAUUCUGACUAACGUUACCAGAGAAGAAGGAUGAACUUUUGGGUGCACGCUCUACAUAUAUACGGUUAAAGGUUUCUCCCUAUCUCUUAGCUCCUGGCUGAUGAAGGGCACAAGCUCUUACGGUGUUUUUGAAGAUUAAACCCUUUGUAAACAUCAGUUUCUGAGAGUAAAGUGCAUCUGUUCAGCUGGGAAUGCUACAGUAAGAGCUUGCCCUUACUCUGGAGAGUAAGUGCUUUACC